UUAGUAUCUAAACUCAUAUAGAUUGUAUUUUUCGUAUAUGGUUUUGAAUUUAGAAAGUUUUUUUUAAGAAAGAGCGCGUUACCUGCUUCAUUCAUUAAAAGAAAUGAAUUAAACGUACAGAAUGAAAGCAGCUAAAGCUUCCUAGAGAAAACAGGAACCAAAAAAUAAAAGCAAAACCCAAUAGGUGAAAAGAAAGUAGAACACAAAAGGAAAAAAGAAAGUGAAAACCGAAAAGAAAACGAAGGAUGGGGAAGAAGCAGGGGAAGAGAGGAAAGGGAGAAGAAUUCAAGUUACAGUAGUUCUAUCCAGGAGUU
rnacentral:lncRNA from 1 species